UUGUCCCCGGCGCACAAUGGACGUAUCUAUUAGUAUUUGCAUUUCACUGAAAGCAAUCUACAUUGCAAACUCGCUUAUGUAAUACGGCCGGUUACAAUAGGAAUCCUGGUGUGCACUCGAUCGACUGUAUUGAGGAUUACGAUUGAUUCCCGAAAUCCAAUGUUAUUUGCGGGAUUCUGUGGGCUUUGAUAAGUGUUGAUAGUCCAUUUGCUAUUGAUGAGCCUUUGGAAUGCUUUAGUUAAAAAAUCGUGAUCAUUUAUUGGUACUAAACAAGUAACAGUGAAGGAAAACAUCGUGAGGAAACCUGCAUACCUGAGAAAUUCUUUAUAGGAAUUUUGGUGUGUGAAGUCUACCAAUCCGCACUAGGCGAGCGUGGUGGACUAAGGUCUAAUCCCUCUCAGCAGUAAAGGAAGCCGUGUCCAGCUGCGGGAUAAUAUAAUACAGGGCUGAUAUUAUAUUAUUAAACAACCUGGUGAGGGUCGCCGGAGUCCGAUAGAUGAGGGCGGCACAAAACUGAUCCCUGUGACGCUCAAUGGGAGACGCCUAUGCCCAGCAGUGGACGAUUCCCGGCUGAAAUGAUAAUGAUAAUACCUCAUAAGUCCAAAAUUCCGCCUUCGCUCCAUCUCACCAACUUCCUUAAUAACCCUCCCUUGAAUAAUGUAAGAGUCAGAACACCUAAUUAAAACUUCGAUGCAGUGGAAGCCCACAAAAAGAUGUCGCGGGGCUGAUGUAGGUAUCCGGAACAUAUUUAACUAGGAAUAAAUAGAAUAGCAUAAACACAGCGCGGUUGCGGCGUGUGUAGUGCGGCGGCGGCGACGACAACCCAUAAAUUUGAAUGGUCAAGUGGGUUUGGACGUGGGCCAGGGGUUGCAAACAUUUCCCUGGAGUUAGAAGUAGAUUUGUUUUUGUGUGAUUCACGUAUACGAAUAGGAUUUAUUUGAGUUUUUUAGCUUUGCCAAUAAAUGUUAUAUAAUGCCUUAAAUCUAGUAGUGUGGAUAAAAUGAUUGACAAUUCGCUGUAAUUUUGAAAAAUCCAUUAAAUUGCAUAACCUGUUUAUAAUUUACAUGUAAUGAGUAAAAUAACAUUAAUAACUACAAAUAUUACAUUGUAGGCGAACAGAAUAUUUGUAAGGGUCAUAUUAACCUUAGAUAUGAUAUAAAAUUUUCAUAGUUAAAUAAUUUCAUGCAUGUAUGUCCUAUAUUUAAAAUUUAAUAAUAUACCAAAGGAUAUUCACCGAAAUCGCUAGAAAAAUCAAUUAUUACGCAACUCACACGAUAAAUUUUCAUAUUAAGUAACUUUUUCAAAUAAAAAAAAAAUCCAAAUGUUGAGCACCCCUGUCGCAUUCAAAGCCGCGGCGCCCAGAGCUGUUAUAUCAUGCACAAGUCGAUUCGCACACCAAAAUACGUUCUAAAUAGAUACAGCCACCCAAACGUCCAAGGUAUUUGUAUGAAAACAAUACAAAACUCCAGUGUGGUAUGGCAAAUUUUAUAACAUACAACGGUUUUCUUAUGAGUUUAGUUAUUUUUAUUCGAGUUUUAAAUUGAAUUCUUGGACUAUAUUUUUAUAUUGAAUGGCUGGACUAUUGAAAAAGAUUUGCGAAGACAGUUAGGAAAUUAUCACGUGGGGACCGUAGCAGUAUUACUAUAUAGUAUAUAGUAUACUAUAUAGUAUUCUUAAAAUCUAUACAUAUUAUUAAGCAAAGUCCCCUUUUCUGUCUGUACGUAUAUUAUCGUUUUACCCAAAAUUUACUAAACGGAUUUUUAUGUCAUUUGGUAUGGAGAUAGUUUAACACCCUGGG